AUGACUAAAAACAACUUACUUAAAAGGGGGAUUGAUAAGAACCCAUACUGUUUGUUCUGCUCUGAGCAGGAGACUAUAGACCAUUUGUUUUUUGGCUGUGUGGUUGCUAAGAACAUCUGGAGCGAAGUCUCUACAUUCUUAUCCACGGAUAUAGGAUCUAGUUAUUUUUCCAUUGCCAAGUUUUGGCCUGCUAACAAGAAACAUGAAGUGCUGAAUGCUUUUUGUGCUUGUGUCUUGUGGAGCUUAUGGAAAACUAGAAAUAAACAUGUUUUUGAUAAUGCUGUUUGGUCUGACACUAAACAGAUUUGGUGGCUGAUCUGGAAGACCCUCAAGAGGUGGAUGAUUCUGUACACCAGCGAGUCUCUCAAAAAAAUGCAGAUGAUGCUGGAUUGGGUAUCCUGCAUUCCCAAGGCUCCCCUUCAGUUGACCUCGGGAUGA
rnacentral:rRNA from 1 species